UGACAUAUGCAUCCAAAUACUCUAAGGUGGUUGACAGAAGGUCUAUGGCCACUCCAAGUUUCAAGUGGGGUUUUCUGAUUCAAAGCCUUAGUGGGUAGUCUGUUUUGAAGCAACCCCAUUUUGUUGAGAUUCUUGAACUUCUUGAAAGCGGCAAAUGUCUCUGACUUUGACUUCAGGAAAUACACCCAUAGCAUGUGUGAGU